AACAUCCAAAUAUUCGAUGCGGAGAAAAAAAAAUCUCUGCCUCGUCAAUCCAAACACACGUAUGAAAAAAAAAUACUAGCAAAGGCUCACUCCCUCAACGCAAGUGGCAAGCACCUAUUUUUCUCAGUUUACUUUCCCUCUCUCUAGGCGACAGCGCCAGCGACGCCCUCUCUCCCCGUCAACCCUAGCGGCGGUGGAGCGAGGCUAGAUGACGCCGGCUCGUGCGGGUGGCGGGCGGAGCUCGACGCACGCUGACGGCGGAUCGACGCGCGGCAGUGGCGGAUCGAGGCACCGCAGCGGCGGGCGGAGCUCGAGGCACGGAGACGACGGAUCAACGCGUGGCGGUGGCGGGUCGAGGCGCUGCGGCGACGGCCAAAGCUCGGAGCGGGCGGGUGGCGGAUCAAGGCGCAGUGGCAGAUCUAGGUGGCUCGGGUUCCGACGGCGGGGGGCAGUGGCUCUGGCCGGCUUGGGGCCCGACGGCGGCGACGCCCAAGGUUCUAGUCAUGUUGUAAAAAUGGUGUCUGCAUGUAUGGUCCAAGGUCUAUUCAUGUUUAUUUCGGUCAGAUGAUGUCAAUUUUGGUGCUCCUGCUUUGAGCCACGUUUGCCGAUGGUGUUUGCUGAUGGUAUAGUCUUCCCUGCGUUGGAUGGUAGCUGCCUUGUCUGGUUAUGGGUGAAGGAAAUUUAAAGACAAAUUAAGGUGACCGUGUGGUUGGCCGAGUUGUCGGCGGGACUAUCGUUAGCUCGAAAGAAGUGUCCAUUCUUUCACAUGUAUGUGGAAUUUCAUUUGCCUUGGUUGCUCCCUGUUUAGAUGCUUUUUAUGAAGAUGUUUAUUUUCAUGGCUUAUUUCUGCUCAGCUCAGGUUGUGAUCCGUCGUUAGAUAAAGGUCAGCAUGUACUGUCUUCUGUAAACAUAGAAUGCAUUGAUGGUCGGUAUUUUUAUGUCUUAACAGAUCUCACCAUACCAGACACCUAAUCUGGUCCCUUCCUGUAAACGCCUCUUCAUAUGCAAACAUUGUACGACCAUCGUCUUUGGUUUUAAUACUACAUACAAGAUCCGGUGGAGGGGAGACUGUGCUGCCCAGAUCUGGUAAAUAUUCGACCCGGCGAGAAGGACGUCGGCAUGGACGACGAUAGCUUCUGCUCGCCUCCCUCGACAGGGCCUGCUUGAUUUGAGUUUACCAAGGAAAAUGUGCAUCGCUGAAGAUCAAUUUCAAUGAUACAGCCAUGUUUUCAGGUUAGUAGCCCUUUCCUUAUGCAGGUUAUCAGCUAUUAGUCAUUUUCCCUCAUUCGCGCUGGCUCAUAACAAUGAGUUGUACGUUGUAACUUGCACGUAGCUGACAUGUUUGGUAUGCUUCUUGUAACGGAUGGUCCAAUGUGCAAACUAGCUGUGCACUGCAGAUUGCAGUCGAUACUCUUUUUAUCAUCAGGAAAGCAACAAACAUCUACAUAGGAUCAAACUUGCAAAAACGCUGCUGCUGUUCUGCAGUUCUCACAAAUAUGGAUGCUAGAGCUUGUGGAUUUAUAUUGGUUGAUUUUGCUGUUGUUUUAAUACUAUAUACAAGAUCUUAGCUUGCUUUUGUUAACCUUUUGCGUCAUUUUGGUAUAUUUUUUACAUCAGCUUUAUAGUGUUUGGUCAAUGUAUUGUUGGAGACAAUGUGCCUCCUAUUUAGAUUCAACCAUACUCUUCUUAGUCAGGAAAUGUGGUUUACUACAGCUUUGCUUGUCCAUCUCAACUAAUACAAGUAAAAUUUUUGUCACACUUUCACUUUAAAAGGUUUCUCAUGAGAGUACACUAAUUAAUUGGCAAAGGUGAACACAUCAGCAAGCAAAGAACCCCAAACUCCGCGAAAAAAGGCAGUCACAGUCCAUUGCAAGGCCAAUUUGAUCGUGCUGAAGAACCGUACAAAGAUUGGCUCAAUUUAUACUUUCUAGAGGAGUUGAUGCAAGCACGUCCAAAAAUGAACUCUUUUUAUCCAACAUGUACUAAAAUAAAAGCCAUGCUGUAUUGCUACAAAUAUUAUAUUUCAUAUAUAGGGACUGUUCACAAACUAAAUAUAUUUAUAUAUA